rnacentral:rRNA from 1 species
GACGAACGCUGGCGGCGUGCUUAACACAUGCAAGUCGAACGAUGAAGAAGAGACACGCGAACUUCGGUUCAACUUUCACUUCGGAUUAGUGGCAGACGGGUGAGUAACGCGUGAGCAACCUACCUCUUACAAAGGGAUAGCCUCGGGAAACCGUGAUUAAUACCAUAUGACACAUUCAUAAGGCAUCUUAAGACUGUUAAAGCUACGGCGGUAAGAGAUGGGCUCGCGUCCCAUUAGCUAGUUGGUGAGGUAACGGCCCACCAAGGCGACGAUGGGUAACCGGCCUGAGAGGGUGAACGGUCACAUUGGAACUGAGACACGGUCCAAACUCCUACGGGAGGCAGCAGUGGGGAAUAUUGCACAAUGGAGGGAACUCUGAUGCAGCGACGCCGCGUGAGCGAUGAAGGAAUUCGUUUCGUAAAGCUCUGUUCUAUGGGAAGAAAAGGACUGUACCAUAGGAGAAAGCCCCGGCUAAAUACGUG